rnacentral:lncRNA from 1 species
UUCCAUUUUUCCCAUAUUUCUGGCUCAGCCGCGCUUCUUGCUAGCAGGAGGAAGUAGAUGGAUGCUCCUGGGAGGUGAUGCGAAGUUUGCGAGUCUGUUUUCCAUGAAGAAUCUCACUUAAGGUAUUGGAAGAAUCUUAUUAAAGGUUGCACGUGGAGUUGAGGGCAGACCUCUUAGUCCUGGCUCAUCACCCACGUGAAUCUGCAGCUCUGGCAUGCUGUCUUCAUGCUGACUCAUGUUUCCUAACGGGGCUCUCCGACACAAUAACCCACAGCACUGAGAACUUGUAACUUCCCUGCACAGCAGAGCUCACAAAGUAGAUGUAUACAGACUACAGUAUUUACAGGAAUAAUCUAUUUC